GAUGAACGCUGGCGGCGUGCCUAACACAUGCAAGUCGAGCGAAAAGACGAGGCGCUUGCUGCUCUGACGUUAGCGGCGGGCGGGUGAGUAACACGUGGAUAACCUACCUAUAAGACUGGGAUAACUUCGGGACACCGGCUCUAAUACCGGAUAAUCUAUUGCACCGCAUGGUUCAAUAGUGAAAGACGGUUUUGCUGUAUCUUCUAGAUGGAUCCGCGCCGCAUUAGCUAGUUGGUAAGGUAACGGCUUACCACGGCAACGAUGCGUAGCCGACCGGAGAGGGUGAUCGGCCGCACUGGAACUUAGACACGCUCCAGACGCCUGCGGGAGGCAGCAGUAUGCAAUCGUCCGCAAUGGGCGAAAGCUUGACGGAGCAACGCCGCGUGAGUGAUGAAGGUCUUCGGAGCGUAAAACUCUGUUAUGAGGGAAGAACAAAUGUGUAAGUAACUAUGCACGUCGUGACGGUACCUAAUCAGAAAGCCACGGCUAACUACGUG
rnacentral:rRNA from 1 species